CGUGCAAGCCUGGCCACCUUUACUCUCUGGAGCCCACAUCAAAGGCCAGAUAUGAUGAUUCACUCAGUAACCUCUGCUCUCAGAUAGGAGCCGCAGGAGAAGGAAGCAUGAAAGUCACAGCCCAGCUACCUAGAGUACACAGCGCAGCCACAGAAACAAGAGCGACCCGGUCUGCAUAAGGGAGAAAGGCACACAUGAGCGCGGGGUCUUACAGAGUCCAGAGCCAUCAAGACAACUCAAGAUCGGGGAUCAGAUCACACAUCAUGAAAGAUUGGAGUGUUUCUGGGGAGCUCAUAGUACUACAUAAGAUGGAACUUUGAGAAGUCUGGGUACUCCCUCUGACCCUUCUUCAGUGAGUAGGAAGGCCAUGCAGAGCAGAGGGGAUGGUAGAACUUGAGGAAAAUGAAAAGGUCCAGCUGCUGGGUUGUGGGGAAACCCUCAUGGGCUCCCUGGAUAUUUGGGGGCUUGUAGGUGUAGAGAUUGCUGAUGGGGGAGGGGAGAGAGCAUAAGAAGUUCCUCAGCCUCACCAGCCCUCCCUCAAUGCUGUGAACAUAUUUUUUCACAGCUACAGCCACAAGCCUCUUGUCGCCUGGGUUCAUUCUCUAGGUCUUAGAUCUCCAAAAACCCUAAGACGGUGUGUUCUUCUAAGUUGCCUAGACCCUGCAGACGAUCCUACCAACCAGACAAACGCACCCACUGGUGGAAUAGUGGCAAGACUGUCUAUGGGAGUAACCAACAGCUCUCCGCUGGAUCGGAGGCCUGUUCCACAGAAGGAAUUUACAUCUGGUGAAGAAGAGCUGACCCUGAUGGCAUGGGCAUUGGGGAGCUGGCUGUGCCCCUCCCCUGAAGCAGGCAGCUCCAGUGACCCAGACUGACCAGGUCAGUUACCACCCAUGCCCAUAGCCAGACCUUGGGUUGACCCAUGCUAACAUCUACCCCAUCUAGGACCUGCAAGAGUUCGGGAAAGGACUGGUCCUGUGGAAUUAUACCCACAGGAUCUCCACCAUUAGAAGCAGUCACAGGAUAUCCCGGAGGAGUUUCUGAGGAUGCAGUGAAGACCCAGUGAUGAUGGUGUACCAGAAACCAGAGGCCUUGGACCAGAGCAGUGAGUCAUUGCAAUGAACAACUAGUGAAGCUGAUUGGACAAAAGGGUGUGCUCUGUGACACACUGCCCCCAUCAGAGCAAAUGAGGAGGAGUUGGAGAGGUGGCAAAGAAGGAAAAGCAAAGAGGAAUUUUUUUGGUUGUUUUGUUCUUGUUUGGUUUGUUUGAUUGAUUUGUUUUGUUGUUGUGAACUUUCUUUGUGGGGGACACUGCAUGAGUGAGGGGGAAACAUGGGGGGUGGGGAGGUGAGCAGAACUAGGGUGCAUGA